UGAAUACGAGACGCUAAGGCGUCGAAGUAGUGUAUGUCAUACUUCCAAGAAAAGCUUGCACUGUCAUAAGUAAAAAAUGCCUGUACCAUAACCGACACAGGUGGGUAGGUAGAGUAUACUAAGGGGCGCGAGAUAACUCUCUCUAAGGAACUCGGCAAAAUGACUCCGUAACUUCGGGAGAAGGAGUACCUUAUUCUAUAAGGUUGCAAUAACAAGAUCCAAGCAACUGUUUAUCAAAAACACAGGUCUCCGCUAAGUCGUAAGACGAUGUAUGGGGGCUGACGCCUGCCCAGUGCCAGAAGGUUAAAGAAGUCGGUUAGCAUUAGCGAAGCUGGUAACUGAAGCCCUGGUGAACGGCGGCCGUAACAAUAACGGUCCUAAGGUAGCGAAAUUCCUUGUCGGGUAAGUUCCGACCCGCACGAAAGGCGUAAUGAUUUGGAUACUGUCUCGGAGAGGGGCUCGGUGAAAUAGACUUGUCUGUGAAGAUGCGGACUACCUGCACCAGGACAGAAAGACCCUAUGAAGCUUUACUGUAACUUGAAAUUGAAAUUGGACUUUAUUCGCGCAGUAUAGGUGGGAGGUGUUGAUUAUAAUCUUGCGGGAUUAUUGGAGCCAUCAGUGAGAUACCACUCUUGUAAUGUUAGAUUUCUAACUUUGAAUCAUUAUCUGGUCAAAGGACAGUUUCAGGCGGGCAGUUUGACUGGGGCGGUCGCCUCCCAAACGGUAACGGAGGCGUACAAAGGUUUCCUCUGAACGGGUAGAAAUCGUAUCUAGAGUGUAAAGGCAUAAGGAAGCUUGACUGUGAGACCUACAAGUCAAACAGGGACGAAAGUCGGUCUUAGUGAUCUGACGGUACUGAGUGGAAAGGCCGUCACUCAACGGAUAAAAGUUACUCUAGGAUAACAGGCUGAUCUCCCCCAAGAGUUCACAUCGACGGGGAGGUUUGGCACCUCGAUGUCGGCUCAUCGCAUCCUGGGGCGGUAGUACGUCCCAAGGGUUGGGCUGUUCGCCCAUGAAAGCGGUACGCGAGCUGGGUUCAGAACGUCGUGAGACAGUUCGGUCCAUAUCCGGUGUAGGCGUUAGAAUAUUGAGAGGAGCCUUCUUUAGUACGAGAGGACCGAGAAGGACAUACCUCUGGUGUACCAGUUAUCGUGCCAACGGUAAACGCUGGGUAGCUAUGUAUGGAGUGGAUAACCGCUGAAAGCAUCUAAGUGGGAAGCCCACCUCAAGAUAAG
rnacentral:rRNA from 1 species